rnacentral:rRNA from 1 species
UACGUAGGGGGCAAGCGUUGUCCGGAUUUAUUGGGCGUAAAGAGCGUGUAGGCGGCCAUGCAGGUCAGCUGUGAAAACUCGAGGCUCAACCUCGAGACGUCGGUUGAAACCAUCUGGCUAGAGUCCGGAAGAGGAGUGUGGAAUUCCCGGUGUAGCGGUGAAAUGCGCAGAUAUCGGGAAGAACACCCGUGGCGAAGGCGGGUCUCUGGGCCGAUACUGACACUGAGGAGCGAAAGCGUGGGGAGCGAACAGG